GACGAACGCUGGCGGCGUGCCUAAUACAUGCAAGUCGAACGAAGCUGUUUUAACUGGUGCUUGCACCGACUUAAACAACUGAGUGGCGAACGGGUGAGUAACACGUGGGUAACCUGCCCCAUAGCGGGGGAUAACAUUUGGAAACAGAUGCUAAUACCGCAUAACCACAGAAACCACAUGGUUUCUGUGUCAAAGAUGGUUUCGGCUAUCACUUUGGGAUGGACCCGCGGCGUAUUAGCUAGUUGGUAAGGUAAUGGCUCACCAAGGCAAUGAUACGUAGCCGAACUGAGAGGUUGAUCGGCCACAAUGGGACUGAGACACGGCCCAUACUCCUACGGGAGGCAGCAGUAGGGAAUCUUCCACAAUGGGCGCAAGCCUGAUGGAGCAACACCGCGUGAGUGAAGAAGGGUUUCGGCUCGUAAAACUCUGUUGUUAAAGAAGAACGUAUCUAAGAGUAACUGCUUAGGUAGUGACGGUAUUUAACCAGAAAGCCACGGCUAACUACGUGCCAGCCGCCGCCGUAA
rnacentral:rRNA from 1 species